GUUAGGUUGCAAAGAGGGUGCAGAUAUUAAUCCGCCCCAUGCCACUAUGGAAAUACACAUAAGCCAGUAAUCGGCUUGUUGUGCGCUCUAAAAACUAUAAAGUAACCUCUCAAAAGAAAAUUUUAAGUUAGGAAUUACAAUAUUCCUUUUUGGUUUUCAAUACCACUCCCCAAAUUUGGUUAAUGUCUGGUAUUGUGUCUCCACCUAAGUGCCGGUAUCUAUUAGACGCGAAAACCGGGCAAUGGCAAAGGAAAUGCUCCAACGUCUCAUCACCCGCAUUGAUUUUUCAUAAUAAUAGCAUCGUCUUCUCACGAUCUGGAUCCCCCGCAUAGGAUUUUCGCCAUCCUACCGACCGUUUCGCUUUUCCACAAUGUUGCACCCGCUUUCAUCGCCCACUCCCUUAACUCGGACUGCGUCGACCCGAAAAGCUUUAGGUGUUUCUCUUUGCACAACACAAAAUGGAAAGCUAAUGACCACCGCAUCGCCUUAUUAGAGGAAGCAUUAUUUUGUAUUGAACUUUUGAAUAGGCAAAUAUAAACAAGAAGGCAUGGCAUGGCUGCGAUGUCCAAUUGGGAGCAAAAGUAGGUGCGUUAUCGUCACACUUAAAGGUCAUCUUAUAAAAAAGCAUGUGGAUUACAUCCAAUAUUUUCCGUAUUAUUGAGUAGUUACAACAAAAGGUUUUGCACAAAAUAAAUUCCAAAGGCAAAAUAAAAAU